GAGUUGAGUUGAGUUGAGUUUUGUCAACACUUCUCACAAUUCUUCACUUUAGUAAUUAGAUGACUAUGCUGAUAUCAUUGGAAAAUUGAAGUACUACAUGGAAAAUUGAUAGUUUAACAUAGGAGAAAUGUCUUGCUUUGUAUAUGGAGGCACAGGCUGUAUGGUACAAAGUUAAGCAUGGCAGAAUUGCAUACAUUUCGUUAACUCGUCUUGUCUCGUUUAUUCAUGUGCUCCAGUAGAAUCCAAUCUUUAGGGGUUUAACAAUGUGCAUAGAUAGAUUUUAUGUUUGGAUAGUAGAAUUUUGAAAUUGUAAUUUGCUAGGCGACUUUGUAUGAAAUCUUAGUGGGCAUUGAAUACUUCAAAUCUCUGUCAACUUCAAAUCACUAGAUUUAGAAAUUAUUUUGAUUU
rnacentral:misc_RNA from 1 species